rnacentral:other from 1 species
AAUUGCCUGCUCCGUACGUGAUGAUGAAAUAACCCUUGAGCCAACACUUGAAAAAAGGGAACCAAGUUCUGAUGGGGCUGGCAAGUUCACCAUUAGGGUGAAAGGUCAAAGCCGUUAGAGAAGGUGCCCACCUUUUAAAUGGGUCUCAAAGGGUAUAAUCAUUGCGGCGGAGCGGGUAUAGU